AGUGAACGCUGGCGGUAGGCCUAACACAUGCAAGUCGAACGGCAGCACAGGAGAGCUUGCUCUCUGGGUGGCGAGUGGCGGACGGGUGAGGAAUACAUCGGAAUCUACUUUUUCGUGGGGGAUAACGUAGGGAAACUUACGCUAAUACCGCAUACGACCUACGGGUGAAAGCAGGGGAUCUUCGGACCUUGCGCGAUUGAAUGAGCCGAUGUCGGAUUAGCUGGUUGGCGGGGUAAAGGCCCACCAAGGCGACGAUCCGUAGCUGGUCUGAGAGGAUGAUCAGCCACACUGGAACUGAGACACGGUCCAGACUCCUACGGGAGGCAGCAGUGGGGAAUAUUGGACAAUGGGCGCAAGCCUGAUCCAGCCAUACCGCGUGGGUGAAGAAGGCCUUCGGGUUGUAAAGCCCUUUUGUUGGGAAAGAAAUCCAGCUGGUUAAUACCCGGUUGGGAUGACGGUACCCAAAGAAUAAGCACCGGCUAACCUCGUGCCAGCCGCCGCAGUAA
rnacentral:rRNA from 1 species